UUUGGUCCGAGGUAGGUAAUAUGGGAAUGUGUGGCUAAUUUUCUUGAAUUGAGGUGAUUACGCCAAAAUUUGAAAGAUAGGCGUUUGAAACAAUGAAUUCACCUCUAGGGGACUUAAAUAAACUCGAUUCUCCAAAAUUCACACGUCAACACUUUUGCCUUUUAGGCAAUGGAUCGAGUUUUCAACCCAAUUCACAACUAGUCC
rnacentral:lncRNA from 1 species